GACGAACGCUGGCGGCGUGCUUAACACAUGCAAGUCGAACGAGAACGGAUUAUAGCUUGCUAUAAUUGUCAGCUAAGUGGCGCACGGGUGAGUAAUGUAUAGGUAAUAUGCCUCUUACUAAGGGAUAACAAAUGGAAACGUUUGCUAAUACCUUAUACUCCUUAUUAACAGAAGUUAAUAAGGGAAAGAUUUAUUGGUAAGAGAUUAGCCUGUAUUGUAUCAGUUAGUUGGUGGGGUAAUGGCUUACCAAGACUAUGACACAUAACUGGUUUGAGAGGAUGAUCAGUCACACUGGAACUGAGACACGGUCCAGACUCCUACGGGAGGCAGCAGUGGGGAAUAUUGCACAAUGGACGAAAGUCUGAUGCAGCAACGCCGCGUGGAGGAUGACACAUUUCGGUGCGUAAACUCCUUUUAUAUGAGAAGAUAAUGACGGUAUUAUAUGAAUAAGCACCGGCUAACUCCGUGCCAGCAGCCGCAGUAA
rnacentral:rRNA from 1 species